UAUUACUGUUUGUGCUUCGUGGGUGGGUUGCUGGACUAACCAGGGCACUGACCGACAGGAGGUCAGAUACCCUGUUAGUCUGUUUGGAAAAGGGGAGAAAUGUGGCGGAACCAGCCUCGCCACUGGGCAUUGGAGAAGACUGAUUGCCAGCCUCCUGCCAUGUGACUAUGGCCCCUGGGAUGUAUUGCCUGCUCUCCUGUACUGCUGAGGAUUGCUACCAAUUAGGUGGAUUUGGCUAUGGAGCUUGUGUAGUGCCCUCUGUUGGUAGCAACAGUAAUAUGCACUACCUGAAUAGCAAGACUGAUA